rnacentral:rRNA from 1 species
UACGUAGGGUGCGAGCGUUAAUCGGAAUUACUGGGCGUAAAGCGUGCGCAGGCGGUUUUGUAAGCCGGAUGUGAAAUCCCCGGGCUUAACCUGGGAAUGGCAUUCGGGACUGCAAGGCUGGAGUGCGGCAGGAGGAGACUGGAAUUCCUGGUGUAGCAGUGAAAUGCGUAGAUAUCAGGAGGAACACCGAUGGCGAAGGCAGGUCUCUGGGCUGACACUGACGCUCAUGCACGAAAGCGUGGGGAGCAAACAGGG